CUACCUUGUUACGACUUCACCCCAAAUCAUGAUCCUACACCGGUAAUCAGCAUACUACGGUUAGGCUAACUACUUCAUGGUAAAACCACUCAUAAUUAGCGUGGGCGUUGUGUCUGCCGUUCCAGAGGAACAUCCAUUCACCGCGACAUGCUGAUCCGCGAUUCUGCGCCAAUUCCGACUUCACGCAGUCAGUUGCAGACUGCGAUCAGACUGAUCAUCGGGUUUCUGGUUGUCCCCCUCGCGGUUGGCGACCCUCCCAUCCACGACCAUUGUAUGACGUGUGAAGCCCUACCCAUAAGGGCCAUGAGGACUUGACGUCAUCCCUUCCUCCGGUUGUCUGCAAUAGUCGAUAGAAUUGCCUUUUCAUUGUAACUAAUGACAAGGGUUGCGCUCGUUGCGGACUAGCAACAUCUCGGCGAGCUGACGACAGCCAUGCGCUUCUGAUUCCAGUUCUAUUUGCGAGCACUCCCCAGCAAAAUCUUACCUUCGGGAUUCCAGACAUGUCAGGAGUAGGUAACGGGUUUUUCGCGUUGCAUCGAAUUAAUCCACAUCUCAUCCACCGCUUGUGCGGGGUCCAAAUCAAUUCUUUGAGUUUUAAUCUUGCGACCGUAUACCAGGCGUUAGCUUCACGCAUUAGCUGCGCCUUAAGGCGAAGCCCAACAGCUAAUUGUUAUCGUUUAGGGCGUGGACCCCACCAGGGUAUCUAAUCCUGUUUGCUCCCACGCUGCUGGUACGCGAGCGUCAGUCGUUUAUCCAGGAGGCUGCCUUCGCCAUCGGUGUUCCUCCGCAUAUCUACGCAUUUCACUGCUACACGCGGAAUUCCACCUCCCUCUGAGCACACUCUAGCUCGGUAGUUAAAAAUGCAGUUCAAAGAUUAAAAACCCUGAGUUUCACAUCUUUCUUGAACCGCCUUACUUACGCUGCCAGUAAUUCCGAUUAGCAGCACGCCUACAUGUCACACGCGGCUGCUGGCACGUAGUUGGCGUGAUAACUUACUCUGCAGGUACCGUCAGUUGCACGGGGUAUUAUCUCGUGCCGUUUCUUUCCUGCCAAAAAAGUUAACACAACCCCGAAGGCCUUCAUGCGCCACGCGGGAUAGCUCGGAUCAAGUUCCCCGUAUCCCAAAUUCCCCCACUGCUUACUCUGGCCGGAGUCUGGGCCGUGUCUCGGUCCCAGUGUGUGGUCGUCCUCAAGCCAGCUGCGGAUCGUCGCCUUGACGAGCCGUACCCCACCAACUAGCUGUCGAUAUCGGCCGCUCUAAUAGUGCGAGGCCGGGGUCCCACUUUCCCCCCGAAGGGCGUGUACAUUAUUAGCUACGCUUUCAGCAUGAUUAUCCCCCGCUACUAGGCACGUUCCGGUACAUUACUCACCGUUCGCGCCCUCGCUGCGAGACCGAAGUCCGUGCCGUUCGGCCACAUGCCUUAAAGCAUCCCGCCAGCUGAUUCAAUCUGAGCCAUGAUCAAACC
rnacentral:rRNA from 1 species